UAUCCUAGAGGAUAAAGGAAAUCUUUGGGAAAGUCAGUAUUUUAUAUAGCAAAAAUAUGAACCUCAAACUGAAUCCUCUAAGGCCCCAUACAAUGAAGUAGACAUUGGUGGAAGCAUUUAUAAAUACCUGGGCACAGGACUUCAAAGCAAACACAGAUUCCCCCUCCCCCUUAAUAUUUAAGAAUUAAAAGAUGAUGAGAAAUAAGGACAAAAGCCAAGAGGAGGACAGUUCGCUACACAGCAAUGCAUCGAGUCACUCAGCCUCUGAAGAAGCUUCGGGUUCAGACUCAGGCAGUCAGUCGGAAAGUGAGCAGGGAAGUGAUCCAGGAAGUGGACAUGGCAGCGAGUCGAAUAGCAGUUCUGAAUCUUCUGAGAGUCAGUCGGAAUCUGAGAGUGAAUCAGCAGGUUCCAAAUCCCAGCCAGUCCUCCCAGAAGCCAAAGAGAAGCCAGCCUCUAAGAAGGAACGGAUAGCUGAUGUGAAGAAGAUGUGGGAAGAAUAUCCUGACGUUUAUGGGGUCAGGCGGUCAAACCGAAGCAGACAAGAACCAUCACGAUUUAAUAUUAAGGAAGAGGCAAGUAGCGGGUCUGAGAGUGGGAGCCCAAAAAGAAGAGGCCAGAGGCAGCUGAAAAAACAAGAAAAAUGGAAACAGGAACCCUCAGAAGAUGAACAGGAACAAGGCACCAGUGCAGAGAGUGAGCCAGAACAAAAGAAAGUAAAAGCCAGAAGACCUGUCCCCAGAAGAACAGUGCCCAAACCUCGUGUUAAAAAGCAGCCGAAGACUCAGCGUGGAAAGAGAAAAAAGCAAGAUUCUUCUGAUGAGGAUGAUGAUGAUGACGAAGCUCCCAAAAGGCAGACUCGUCGAAGAGCGGCUAAAAAUGUUAGUUACAAAGAAGAUGAUGACUUUGAGACUGACUCAGAUGAUCUCAUUGAAAUGACUGGAGAAGGAGUUGAUGAACAGCAAGAUAAUAGUGAAACUAUUGAAAAAGUCUUAGAUUCAAGACUGGGAAAGAAAGGAGCCACUGGAGCUUCUACUACUGUAUAUGCGAUUGAAGCUAAUGGGGACCCUAGUGGUGACUUUGACACUGAAAAGGAUGAAGGUGAAAUCCAGUACCUCAUCAAGUGGAAGGGUUGGUCUUACAUCCACAGCACAUGGGAGAGUGAAGAAUCCUUACAGCAACAGAAAGUGAAGGGCCUAAAAAAACUAGAGAACUUCAAGAAAAAAGAGGAUGAAAUCAAACAAUGGUAUAUUUUCCAUCAUGGAUUAAAGAAAUAUAUUUGCAGCCUGAAAGAAGGGAAGGUUUUAAAAUAAUGCAUGGAGAUCACAGCUAUCUAGAAUCUCAGAUUUUGCUUUGAUCAUCUAAACAUGGAGCCGUUUACAAUUCUAUUUUAUAAGAUUGUGACCUUAAGAUACUAUAUUUUUAUAUAUGGCUACCAAGUUUUUGGAGUUAACUAGCUUAUGGAGCAUUAUUCACACAUUCUUUAGUUUUCACAAUAAAUGCAUGAGAUUUGUACUGUUAUUACCCAUUUUGUAGAUGGGGAGAAUACGGCACACAGCAAUUCUGCAGGUGGACUCAGGAUUUGAACUCUGAUGCCCUGAAUCCAGAGCUCAUUCUCUUAAGCACCCUGUUAUUUUCCUGUAGUCAGGCUGGGGUGGCUUAGAUGUAGAGAGUUAAUAUUCUGGAACUCUCUGGGUUAUGAUAUACUUAAAACUAAUUCUGGUUUUGUACAAUUUGCAGAAAUGAUGUGAAGGAAAUGAUUAGGUAACUACUGAAACUGUGAUAGUCCUCGUGUGUGUAGUUUACUUACAGCCUUGAAUGUCUGGGUGUUGCAUAUGGGAAAUAUGUGGAGCUAUAGCACACAAAAACCUAAACUGGGUAAUAAUGGUAUCAAAUUCAGCCUGAAGACAUACCUGUCUGUGUGGUGUGAUCAGCCUAUUUUUGUGUCUGCAAUGUGCACAGAUUUUUGUGUCUGGAAUGUGGACAGUAAUUCUGGUUUUACUACUGUGCAAAAUGUGCUACUUUAGUAAAUUACAUGUUUUUUCUUUGACUCAAAACUGAAAAUAUGUACCCCUUAGAUGGUGAGGUAGGCUUGUAAAGCAGUUAGAAAUUGAAAUCCUCUGAAAUAUAAUAAUUCUAAUAUUAAGUUGCUACUGUUGUCAUCUGAAAGGUUUUGGUAAUAAGAAUAACUAGUUUUACAAGUCAUGUUUAAUCAAUCCUAAAACUCAUACUUAUAUAAGAAAGGGCAUACAGUUUUAUUAUCCUGAUUUUUUUAGAUGUAUGAAUUUGUCACAUGAAUCUGUCACAUAAAAUAGUUAUUUCUGGGUCUCUUUUUAGACAGGACACAUCAGAGGCAGGUAAUUGGUAUAUCCUUCUAUGAGUGUAAGGUUUUCAGUGUUCUCUAAAAGUGUUUUUUUUGUUUGUUUGUUUUGUUUUGUUUUGUAAAAUCUCUGGCCUAAUUACUAGUAAAGAUUACUUAAGGGGCAAAUGGGAGUAAAAAAAUAAGUUUUCUUUUCCACCUUUGACUUUUACUUUGAUGUAUGUAGAUCCCCAAACUUUAGUUUAUGUGUACUUUUUCUGUCUGUCUGCCAUUCAGGUUAGGGAAAGUUUCUCCUGAAGAUGUAGAAUAUUUCAAUUGCCAACAGGAGCUGGCUUCAGAGUUGAAUAAACAGUAUCAGAUAGUAGAAAGAGUAAUAGGUAAGUACAUGGUAACUCACUUCAGCCAUAUUUGAACUUGAGGAAUAGUGGCUUUUGCUUUUGGAAGUAAUGUAAAUUUUAAAAAUGCACUUUGGAGACUAGACAGGUCCUAGAUUUAUUUUAAAGGAAAAGCUAAGAAGAUUUGCUGGUAAAUUUGGAUGUGGUGGAUGAGAGAAAGAGGUGUUAAGUAUGACCUCAAGAUUUGUGGCCUAAACAUGUAGAAGUUUAGAGGUACCAUUUACCGAAGUGGAAAGAUGAAGGGAAGAGCUGAUCAUUGGAGUGGAAACCAAGAGCUUAGUUUGAUAUUUGUAAGUUUGAUUUACUUCUUAGUCAUCUAACUGGAGAAUAUAGUGAAGGCUGGAGCAUAUGUGAACCUGGAGCUUAGAACUCUUUAGUCUGGGCUGGAGAUUUAAAUUUGGAAAUUGGUCAGUAUUUAGAUAGUAUUUAAAGGCUAAGAUUGAACAGGACCAUCAGAAAUAGAGUAUCACAUGGUAAGAAGAAGUAGUCUGAGAGCAUUUCAGCGUUUGGAAGUCAGAAAGAAGCUAGCAAAGGAGACUGAGAAAGAACAGUUGGUGAGACAGGAGGAGAGCUGAGAGAGAGUGGUGGAAGCCUAGUGAUUCCCAUAGCCAGGAGAGAGGACAUGCUGUCAGUCAAGGACGAUUAGGACUGAGACUUGAUCUGUGAAUUUGGCACUGGCGAAACGCAUCCAUGGAGGGGUGGGAGUGCGGCCUGAUUAGGGUACGUUCAAGAGAAAAUGAGGGGAUAGCAAGUAUAAACAACUCGUUGGGGGAGUUUUCUUACAAAGGGGAACAGAGAAGUGGAGUGUCAGCCUGAGAGAGAGAUGAGAAAAAGAAUUUUUUUCUUCUUCUUUUUUUUUUUUUUUUUUUUUUGAGAUGGUGUCUUGCUCUGUUGCCCAGGCUGGAGUGCAGUAGCGUGAUCUCGGCUCACUGCAACCUCUGCCUCCCGGGUUCAAGUGAUUCUCCUGCCUCGGCCUUCCCAGUAGCUGGGAUUACAGGCACCCCCCACCCCCACCACGCCUGGCUAAUUUCUAUAUUUUUGGUAGAGACAGAGUUUCACCAUGUUGGCCAGGUUGGUCUUGAACUCCUGGUCUCAAGCAGUCUGCCUGCCUUGGCCUCCCAAAGUGCUGGGAUUACAGGUGUGAGCCACUAUAAUCCCACUUUUUUUUCUUUUUUAAGAUGUGAGGUAGUAGAAUAUAUUUGCAUUUUAUUCAUAGAACCUAAAAUCUUUCAUUCUUCAUUGUGUUUAUAACUUUUCUGUCUUAUUUUGUAUUUGUUUAGCUGUGAAGACAAGUAAAUCUACAUUGGGUCAAACAGAUUUUCCAGCUCAUAGUCGGAAGCCGGCACCCUCAAAUGAGCCUGAAUAUCUAUGUAAAUGGAUGGGACUUCCCUAUUCAGAGUGUAGCUGGGAAGAUGAAGCCCUCAUUGGAAAGAAGUUCCAGAAUUGCAUUGACAGCUUCCACAGUAGGAACAACUCAAAAACCAUCCCAACAAGAGAAUGCAAGGCCCUGAAGCAGAGACCACGAUUUGUAGCUUUAAAGAAACAACCUGCAUAUUUAGGAGGGGAGAAUCUGGAACUUCGAGAUUAUCAGCUAGAAGGUCUAAACUGGCUUGCUCAUUCCUGGUGCAAGUAGGUAGAAAAAUAUAAGUGCAGUUUUCCUUACCGUUUCUGGCUUCUUUAUUGUUAGAUGUCAAGAAUUUUUUUUUUUCUUUUGUCACACCCUUGUUGUAUCUCAACCAAGAAAUCUUUAUACUGCAUAUUACAGAAAUAAAAGAUGAUUGAGA
rnacentral:sRNA from 1 species